AAAUGGUUGGAAGGCUGUGAAUUAAGUUAUUCCACUGCAGAUGAGACACUUCUGCUCAGUUACCACGAGAGGGACACAGAAGGAAAGCUAAAAAGGAGCUGGGGAAAAAAAAUACUACAACAAUCCAAAGAACAGCUUGACUUGGGAUCGUAGCAACACACGUUGGCCUUUUGUUUGGGAAUAUCUGCCGCCAUCCCAACAUUCCCAGAGCUUCCUUCAUCCCCCUGUAAUCCCUAAAAAGCUCCCCGGGUCUUGGAAAAUGUGCUAAUAAAGACGAAAAUGGAGCUUUUCCCAGAAUUUCAUCAUCUCUCCCUGGGUUUUUUCCCCCUUGGAAUGUCCGUGGCAGUGGCGGGACAGGGAGAGCUGGGCCUGGCUGGGGUUUUGUUCCAUCCCGAGCCUUUGGAGCAGCAAAUCCUGCAGGGCUGGGCCCGUGGAAAAGGGGCUCAGGGAGGGAUUUUUGUUUAUUCUGCUGAAUCUUCGCUAAUUAGUGGUUAAUGAGGCAGAUGCCGUGAGGGCCCAGCUCCCAGAAAACGAGCCCAGCUCCCAAAAAAUGAGCCCAGCUCCCAAAAAACAGGCCCAGCUCCCAGAAAAUGAGCCCAGCUCCCAAAAAACAGGCCCAGCUCCCAAAAAACGAGCCUAGCUCCCAAAAAACGGGCCCAACUCCCAAAAAAUGCCUCCGUGGAACAAGGGGAGCAUCAAAUCCCUCAGAGUAAACACUGAGGGGUUUAUUGGGCUCUCGUGGGAUUAAAAGGCCCGGCCCUGAGAUGCUCUGGAUUAUAAUGCAGUUUAUUAAUUUAAGGAUCUGCAGUUUAUUAAUCCUUAAUGUCAGUAAGGAUUGAAUUCCAGCACAGCAGGGAUGGGAUCGGGACGAGAGCGCUGGGAAAAAAGGGUUGUCCUGGGGAAAACUGGGGGGGAAAGCCCCUAUUUUUUUAAAUUUAUAAGUUUAUAGACUUCAGUUUUAACACUUGUGUUUCUUGGCAGGUGGUUUUGAAAAGAUCUCAAGUGCUGUGAUGCCAAGUGGUCGUUUUUACAAAGGCCUGUAAUGUAAAAAAAGCCCUUUUUUCACCAGCUAAAAACACCUCAGGAAGGUGUCAUCCUGGAAAUGUAAGAAUUAUCCUGGAAAUGUAAGAAUUAUUCUGGAAAUUGAAGAAUUUCUUGAAGGUGCCAGAAUUGAAGUGCAAUGGGAAAUGCAAAUCCAGCCUUGGUUUCAGGGGUUCAGCUGUGGCUGCAUAAAGUGUUCCCAAAACAAGGCAUGGAGAUGUCACUUGGAGCAGUGAAGGAAAAGGAGGAGAAGAUUUUGACAUUUCUCCAGUGGUCUGGAAUGGAAAAGGUCCUUGGAAAUUAAGGUGAUGAGGGACAUUAAAAGAUGACAUCGAUAUAUGAAAGCCAGGAAAUGGAACUCGCUGUUUCACUAAGCACCAAAAAGCCAAUAAACUUGUUAAAACGUAA